rnacentral:misc_RNA from 1 species
CGUGCUUGGUGUUGGACGGCUUGGUCGCGUCACCGCGACUCCUCCUAAAGACAAUGACGGCGGCCUGUGGUUCCCCCGGUACACUGAGCUUUUAAUUGAGCACGUAUUGGAUAAGGCGCCCGGGACCCGGUCUUCUCCCUUUACCGGGAAAUUUUUCAAUGGUUGACCUCGGAUCAGGUAGGGGUACCCGCUGAACUUAA